UACGGAAGGGGCAAGCGUUGUUCGGAAUCAUUGGGCGUAAAGGGCGUGUAGGCGGUUUGUUAAGUCAUGUGUGAAAUCCCUCGGCUCAACCGGGGAACGACGCUUGAAACUGGCAAGCUAGAGUACCAAAGAGGGCGGUGGAAUUCCCGGUGUAGCGGUGAAAUGCGUAGAAUAUCGGGAGGAACACCUGUGGCGAAGGCGGCCGCCUGGUUGGAUACUGACGCUGAGACGCGAAAGCGUGGGGAGCAAACAGG
rnacentral:rRNA from 1 species